AAAACCUCCUCCUCCCCUCCUCUCCCCCACCACGAGACCUCGCAUCGAAUCCUUCCUACCCUAGCCAAAUCAUCGCCGCCGGCAUGAGCACCGCUCCCACCGGCGAUCCGCCGGUCCGCGUCGCCGUCGCUAGCGGCGGUGGCGGGAUGGGGUUGGGGAAGGAGCUGCGGGAGCCGCCGUCGGACGGCGUCUCCAGCCUCCGGUUCUCCAAGCACAGCGAUCGCCUGCUCGUCUCCUCCUGGGACAAGACGGUGCGGCUCUACGACGCGGAGGCCAAUGUGCCCAGGGGGGUGUUCAUGCACGCGGCGUCCGUCCUGGGUUGCUGCUUUCACGACGACUCCUCGGGGUUCAGUGCCAGCGCCGACAACACCGUGCGGAGGUUGGCCUUCAGUUCUGGUGGGAAUUAUUUCUUGGUACGCCAUGAUGCCGCAGUUAGUUGUGUCGAGUACUCCUACUCUACUGGACAAGUUAUCACUGGCAGCUGGGAUAAGACUAUAAUGUGCUGGGAUCCAAGAGGUGUCAAUGGGACAAGUCAUCAUACACUUGUUGGGACACAUAACCAACCUGAACGUGUGUACUCACUUUCAGUAUCAGGAUAUAACUUGGUUGUCGCAACAGCAGGAAGGCAUGUGAAUGUUUAUGAUUUGCGCAGUAUGUCUAGGCCUGAGCAACAGAGGGAGUCUCCACUAAGGUAUCAAACACGGUGUGUUCAAUGCUAUCCGAAUGGAACUGGAUUUGCUUUGGGUUCUGUGGAAGGACGAGUUGCUAUGGAGUUCUACGAUCAAUCUGAAUCUGCUCCCUAUAAGAAGUAUAGUUUCAAGUGUCAUCGAGUGCCUGAGGAUGGAGAGACCAAAGUCUAUCCUGUCAACGCAAUUUCCUUCCACCCAGUACACGGCACAUUUGCCACUGGUGGAUGUGAUAGAUUUGUGAACCUUUGGGAUGGCGCUAACAGAAGGAAACUGUUUCAAUUUCCCAGAUACCCAUCCAGCAUCGCUGCUCUGUCUUUCAGUAGGGAUGGCCGUCUGCUUGCUGUUGCAUCCAGUUACACUUACGAGGAGGGAGACAUACCCCAUCCGCCUGACGCAAUCUUUAUCCGUGAUGUCAACGAAGUACAAGUAAAGCCCAGGCCCAAGAUCACAUUCACUGAUCCGCCAUCAGUAGCGUCCCCAUCAGUUUGAGAUGAAGCAAUGCUAGUGAGGUUGGCCAGCAGUUCUGGUGGAAAUAAUAUAAUGGGGCCCCAUGAUUCCCCAGCUCGCUGUGUCGAAUACUCCUACAGUCCUACAUGCAGAUACGGCACAUUUGCAACUGGUGGAUGUGACAGUUUUAUGGCCUUUGGGAUGGCGCUAGCAAAAGCAAGGAUGGCCAUCUGCUUCGCUGUCGCAUCCAGGUGCACGUUCGAUAAGCCGCAUAAGCCUGACGCAAUCUUUAUCUGUAAUGUCAACUAAAUGGAAGUAAACCAGAGGACGAAGACAUUAGCGGAUCCCUAUCAGCCUGAGAUGUCAGUGAGGUGCGUUUCUUCCCCUCAAUUUGCCUGUUUAUUGUUCGUUGGUUCUGACACUUUACGAAAGUUCUUAGCGUUAUGCUCAAACUAUGGAUUCUAUUAAUUGACAGAAACACAUUCAGUAGUAUAUCUGCAUUAGAGAAGUUACAAGAUGGUAGGUUGAUCAAUCAUCUGAGGUAGUAUAAACUAGCUAGUGACAAUAUUUCUCCACUGCACGAAUGUAUAAACCGAGUUCAUCAAUCAGCACGCAGUAAUUCACCUCACCCUGUCAUCCAUGUUGAGUCCAAAUCCCCAUUAUCAUCUUUAACAAGUCAGAAAGAAAUCAUCUCAUUUAUGACCGAUCCAACUGGAUCGAGCAACGAGACCUACAUCCAACUAUUAUACUACCGAUGAUAAUGUUAUCAAAUUCCAGCAACAUAAGUAGACAUUACCUCGUGGGGAUUAUUCUCCACGGAGACGAUUAGGGAGACACCGCGCGUAUCUGCGCCCCAAAUCAAACGCACUUAAAGCGUUUUGUGAAGGAGCAUGUGGGGGAAGCUAGCAAUAAUCAAGGCACAGCUAAUGCUGCUUCCCAUUGAAAAAUUAAUGCGACUUGGUAAAGUAUUAAGCAUAUGAUUCUGCACAUUUCUGCGUAAUACAUCCACGUCGAGAGUGAGUGGCACAGCUGCUGCUAGCUACACAGCAAGCAGAGUAGUAUAUAUGCCUUGAUCGAUCUGCCUGUGUGUGUGGUUUAGAUUCUCGUACGCGUGUACUCACUCGCGCGCGGAGAGCGAGAUCAUCACUGAAUCAGCUCGCUAUCUCAGCUAUACUGGGGUGCAACUAAGUGAGCUAAUGAUUGGGCCUUUGCCGCCACAUUGUGCAAACAAGUAGUGUAAACGAUCACGCUAUUGCACACGUCGGUUCACGUUUCGUCCCGAGUUUAAUGCCCACGGUGUUUAGUACUACCCCUUUCCAAAAUGUAUGAUGCCGUUUAUUUUUCGUACAACAUAAGCAUAGUACCUACGAAAUAUCAUAUUUGGUAUCAAAGGUAUUAGAUCCGGUACCUAUAAUAUCAUACACAUUAACUAUGGAUAAAAACAGUAUGGAAACUUUCUGGAUUCCGAACCUAUUUUCGAAAACAGUAUCUGUCGGUCAUAAUUUUUCGGAAACGGAAACGGAAACGAAUUCGGAAAUAUUUUAUCGGAAACGGAAUCGAAUAUGAUAAUGGCAGUUUUCGUCGGAACUCGGAAUCGGUCGGAAAAUUUCUUGGAAUUUCCGGAAUUAAGAAGGCCCAUACCGUAGUCUAUAAUUCCUCCCCAGCCUAUCCCAAUUCAGCAUACUAAUUCCAAGUCACUCAAUUCAGCCCAACCCAAUACACCCAAUUCAAACUUAAGAAUUGGACUUGACAUGAUUGUGUUUUGUGAUAUAAUGUUAAAAUAUGAGACUUGAGAAUUAGAUUUGAUAUAGUUUAAAGCUUAGUUUGAGGGGUUUUUUAUUCCGAUAAAUUUUUGUUACUAUAUCAGCGCCGGUCUGUUUUCGCUCUGUUUUCGUUUUCGACAAUAUUUGAUUCUGUUUUUUAUCCGGGGUUUCCAAUUCUGAAAAAAUAUGAAAACAAAAACGAUAAAGGUGGUCUGUUUUCGUACCAUUUUCAUCCCUAAUAUUAACUAUUUCAUUGUCUAUGUAUUUUCGGAAUUGAGGUCCACACAAACAAGAGUCGUGUCUGAUGUGCCCAGCGCAUGACCGGCAGUCCAUUAUCGACUCCUCUAAGUUAAUCUAACCUUUUUCUUUUGAAACAGUUAAUCUAAGCUUUCAGUACAAGUAGCUAGGUGCCUCAACCCUUCUAUUUUUUGUCAUUUCUAUCUUUAUGAGGAGCUGUCACCCCAACCACUUUGAUGCUCUCAAAAGAACAGAUAAUAGAGUGGCCUGUUCCAACGAGCAAAACAGCAGCGGCUAGCAUCAGUCUCACCUCGGCUAGCUAGCAAGGCACAUUCCCUAAAGACACUUUAUGAGGAGCUGGAGAUGAUUCCAACGCUAUCUAUCUGAAGUUUUGAUCUGUGAUAUUUCAGCAAUUUUGUGUAAUCAUAUUUGCUCACGCUAAAGGGUAAAUUAAUUGUGGUUGAAUAUUCAGUUUAGUUUAAGGAUUGGAAUAUUCUAAACUAGCUAUUGUAGAGGGCAGUACUAAUCGACAUCAGGGACAAUCUUGGUCAUCUCUGGUAAACGAUGAAUGUCCUAAGUCAAGUGCUACAGGAAAAUCACUACAACACCAAAAGACUCGACAAUACCAAAAGAGUAUAGAAUUUCAAACAAAGGUUUCCAAGCUUUUAGAUCCAUUGAUCGGUUCUAGAGCCUAGCCACCUUAGGGCAUGUUCAGAUUAAUAUCAUUUUAAAUCAUUACAUUAUUUGAUAAAGUUGAUAAAUAUAUGGUUGCAUUUAGUUUGUUAUCAAACAUUGAUAAUGCAUAGAAAAUUUUGGCAACAAUACAUUUAAACUAUUCUAUAAAAUCUUGACAAUGCUACCAAUUUACCGAAAUUUUGGAAUUAGCAACUUUUGAAAAUGUUAAUUUUGAUAGUAAUCUGAACAGAUCAUUAGUUUAAAAAAUGUCCUUUAUACGAAAGCACUUUCUUCAUGAUGGCUCAAUCCUCUUCAUGUGUAGACAUAGGUCAAUUGCAUCAGUGGUAGCUCCAUAGAAGCCGUUCUUCCUUGCCCCUCUAGAUGUGAGGAAUUCGCAAUCAAGGAACACUGAGUGAAUAACCUCUAUGCCCAACAUCGCUAGCACUGGAUAAUGUUACAUACAUCCUCGUUCACCUCGUC